GACGAACGCUGGCGGCGUGCCUAAUACAUGCAAGUCGAACGAAGUGGCGAACGGGUGAGUAACGCGUAAUCAACCUGCCCUUCAGAGGGGGACACCUUUUGGAAACGACUGCUAAUACCGCAUACUGCAUGGGUGGAUUGCGUCUGAUUAGCUGGUUGGAGGGGUAAGGGGCCAACAAGUCGAUGAUCAGUAGCCGGUCUGAGAGGAAGAACGGACACAUGGGAACAGAGACACGGCCCAGACUCCUACGGGAGGCAGAAGUGGGGAAUCUUACGCAAUGGACGAAAGGCUGACGAAGCAACGCCGCGUGAGUGAUGACGGCAUUCGGGUUGGAAAGCGCUGUUAAUCGGGACGCGGUACCGGAAUAGAAAGCCACGGGUAACUACGUGCCAGCAGCCGCGGUAAUAC
rnacentral:rRNA from 1 species